rnacentral:rRNA from 1 species
GACGAACGCUGGCGGCGUGCUUAACACAUGCAAGUCGAACGGAAAGGCCCUGCUUUCGUGGGGUGCUCGAGUGGCGAACGGGUGAGUAACACGUGAGUAUCCUGCCCUUGACUUUGGGAUAACUUCAGGAAACUGGUGCUAAUACCGGAUAGGAGCUCCUGCUGCAUGGUGGGGGUUGGAAAGUUUCGGCGGAUGGGGAUGGACUCGGGGCUUAUCAGCUUGUUGGUGGGGUAGUGGCUUACCAAGGCUUUGACGGGUAGCCGGCCUGAGAGGGUGACCGGCCACAUUGGGACUGAGAGACGGCCCAGACUCCUACGGGAGGCAGCAGGGGGGAAUAUUGCACAGUGGGCGGAAGCCUGAUGCAGCAGCGCCGCGUGCGGGAUGACGGCCUUCGGGUUAUAAACCGCUUUCGCCUGUGACGAAGCGUGAGUGACGGUAAUGGGUAAAGAAGCACCGGCUAACUACGUG